CUCGUUAAGUCAGGCAACGAGCGAGACCCGUGCCCACUGUUGCCAGCAUGUCCUUCGGGAUGAUGGGUACUCUGUGGGGACCGCCGAUGCUAAAUCGGAGGAAGGUGCGGGCUACGGUAGGUCAGUAUGCCCCGAAUCUCCCGGGCUACACGCGGGCUACAAUGACUGGGACAAUGGGCUCCUACCCCGAAAGGGGAUGGUAAUCUCAUAAACCCAGCCUUAGUUCGGAUCGAGGGCUGUAACCCGCCCUCGUGAAGCUGGAAUCCGUAGUAAUCGCGUUUCAACAUAGCGCGGUGAAUACGUCCCUGCUCCUU
rnacentral:rRNA from 1 species